rnacentral:rRNA from 1 species
UACGGAGGGGGCAAGCGUUGUUCGGAAUUAUUGGGCGUAAAGGGCGCGUAGGCGGCCGGCCAAGUCGGGUGUGAAAUCCCUCGGCUCAACCGAGGAACUGCACUCGAUACUGGCUGGCUUGAGUCCGGGAGGGGAUGGUGGAAUUCCCAGUGUAGCGGUGAAAUGCGUAGAUAUUGGGAAGAACACCGGUGGCGAAGGCGACCAUCUGGACCGGAACUGACGCUGAGGCGCGAAAGCCAGGGGAGCGAAUGGG